GCAAUGUUCCCUUGAUUUUGAUGAACACAAUCAGAACACAUGAUAGUACCCUGAAGGCAGUGGAGAAAUAUUCGAAGAAAACUGUUGAUAUUCUUACUAGCGAUCAUCAGCGAAGACUCGAACAGCCAUGUCAGCCGGCAGCUUUUCUCUUUACGGUGGUAGGGACAAAAGGCUUUUUGGGUGUUCUUGCCGGUCGGCUUCCUGGG